GAAAAUGAUAAACCUCAGCUGUUUAAAAGAAGAAUGUCUGAGUAGCUGUUGAUUACCUCCCAUAAUCACAAAACAACUUUUUUUUAAAAAAGAAUUUGCACUCUUCGUCUGUUAAAACGCGGUCAUUCUUUUGCUUUCAAAUCUAACUUUACGACAGUUAGCAACUUCAAGAACGCUUCCAAAUGGAUAAAUCUUUCCAGAACAUUUCUUGCUUCAAAACAGCUGCAUUUUUGGAAGAAAGUCCACAACUGACAACUAAGUAAAACCCUCCUGGUGGAUAGCAUAAAUCUGCUUUGUUGAAGCUGCUCAUUUGUCUGAUCUAUGAGUCUAGAAGAUGCAAACUCCCUUCUCAGCUUAUGCAAAAAUACUUCCAGUAAAAACAAGCCCUUUGGCCCCUU
rnacentral:antisense_RNA from 1 species